rnacentral:rRNA from 1 species
AGUAACACGUGGGAAACCUGCCCAGAAGCGGGGGAUAACACCUGGAAACAGAUGCUAAUACCGCAUAACAACUUGGACCGCAUGGUCCGAGCUUGAAAGAUGGCUUCGGCUAUCACUUUUGGAUGGUCCCGCGGCGUAUUAGCUAGAUGGUGGGGUAACGGCUCACCAUGGCAAUGAUACGUAGCCGACCUGAGAGGGUAAUCGGCCACAUUGGGACUGAGACACGGCCCAAACUCCUACGGGAGGCAGCAGUAGGGAAUCUUCCACAAUGGACGAAAGUCUGAUGGAGCAACGCCGCGUGAGUGAAGAAGGGUUUCGGCUUGUAAAACUCUGUUGUUAAAGAAGAACAUAUCUGAGAGUAACUGUUCAGGUAUUGACGGUAUUUAACCAGAAAGCCACGGCUAACUACGUGCCAGCAGCCGCGGUAACACGUAGGUGGCAAGCGUUGUCCGGAUUUAUUGGGCGUAAAGCGAGCGCAGGCGGUUUUUUAAGUCUGAUGUGAAAGCCUUCGGCUCAACCGAAGAAGUGCAUCGGAAAACUGGGAAACUUGAGUGCAGAAGAGGACAGUGGAACUCCAUGUGUAGCGGUGAAAUGCGUAGAUAUAUGGAAGAACACCAGUGGCGAAGGCGGCUGUCUGGUCUGUAACUGACGCUGAGGCUCGAAAGUAUGGGUAGCAAACAGGGAUUAGAUACCCUGGUAGUCCAUACCCGUAAACGAUGAAUGCUAAGUGUUGGAGGG